UAAAAGACUUUUGUUUUUUUAAUUCUUUGA
rnacentral:piRNA from 1 species